rnacentral:ncRNA from 2 species
AUAUUUGCAUUUAGGAAUGGUUUAUCGCUACUUUUCGGUAGUGAUAAUUAAAAGGGAAUCGGGUGUAAAUCCCGGACAGUCCCGCUGCUGUGAAGCUUUAUUUUCAACGUUUUGAUAAUUAAUACCCCUUUAACCACUGGCCUUAGCCGGGAAGGUUUAUCAAAACGGAAGCUAAGUCAGAAGACCUGCCAUCUGUUUGAAGUCUAU